rnacentral:rRNA from 1 species
UAUUGGUCAAUGGGCGCGAGCCUGAACCAGCCAAGUAGCGUGCAGGACGACUGCCUUACAGGUUGUAAACUGCUUUUAUGCGGGGGUAAAGUUUGGCACGUGUGCCAUUUUGCAAGUACCGCAUGAAUAAGGACCGGCUAAUUCCGUGCCAGCAGCCGCGGUAAUACGGAAGGUCCGGGCGUUAUCCGAAUUUAUUGGGUUUAAAGGGAGCGUAGGCGGGCUUUUAAGCCGGCUGUGAAAGUUCGGGGCUCAACCCCGGAAUUGCAGUCGGAACUGGGAGUCUUGAGUUGGUGCAGCGGUGCCGGAACUCGUGGUGUAGCGGUGAAAUGCUUAGAUAUCACGAAGAACUCCGAUCGCGAAGGCAGGUGCCGGGCGCCGUACUGACGCUGAGGCUCGAAGGUGCGGGUAUCGAACAGG